AACGAACGCUGGCGGCAUGGAUUAGGCAUGCAAGUCGAACGGGCUGUCUUCCGCAAGGAGGACAGUUAGUGGCGUAAGGGUGAGGAACGCGUGAGCAACUCGCCCUCAAGUUGGGAAUAACCCUUCGAAAGGAGGGCUAAUACCCGAUGUGGAUGUGGCGUCGCAUGGAGCCAUGUCUAAAGAUUUAUCGCUUGAGGAGGGGCUCGCGCCCCAUUAUGCUUGUUGGCGGGGUAACGGCCCACCAAGGCUAUGACGGGUAGCUGGUCUGAGAGGAUGGUCAGCCACACUGGGACUGAGACACUGCCCAGACUCCUACGGGAGGCUGCAGUCGAGAAUCUUCCGCAAUGGGCGAAAGCCUGACGGAGCAAUGCCGCGUGCAGGAUGAAGGCCCUCGGGUCGUAAACUGCUGUCAUCGGGGACGAACAAAUGACGGUACCCGGAGAGGAAGCCACUGCUAACUACGUGCCAGCAGCCGCGGUAAUUCGUAGGUGGCGAGCGUUGUUCG
rnacentral:rRNA from 1 species